GACCAGACUCCUACGGGAGGCAGCAGUGGGGAAUAUUGCACAAUGGGGGAAACCCUGAUGCAGCGACGCCGCGUGAGCGAUGAAGUAUUUCGGUAUGUAAAGCUCUAUCAGCAGGGAAGAAGAUGACGGUACCUGACUAAGAAGCCCCGGCUAACUACGUGCCAGCAGCCGCGGUAAUACGUAGGGGGCAAGCGUUAUCCGGAUUUACUGGGUGUAAAGGGAGCGUAGACGGCGGCGCAAGCCAGAUGUGAAAGCCCGGGGCUCAACUCCGGGACUGCAUUUGGAACUGUGUGGCUGGAGUGUCGGAGAGGCAGGCGGAAUUCCUAGUGUAGCGGUGAAAUGCGUAGAUAUUAGGAGGAACACCAGUGGCGAAGGCGGCCUGCUGGACGAUGACUGACGUUGAGGCUCGAAAGCGUGGGGAGCAAACAGGAUUAGAUACCCCGGUA
rnacentral:rRNA from 1 species